rnacentral:rRNA from 1 species
CCUACGGGAGGCAGCAGUGAGGAAUAUUGGUCAAUGGACGAGAGUCUGAACCAGCCAAGUAGCGUGAAGGAUGACUGCCCUAUGGGUUGUAAACUUCUUUUAUAUGGGAAUAAAAUGUUCCACGUGUGGGAUUUUGUAUGUACCAUAUGAAUAAGGAUCGGCUAACUCCGUGCCAGCAGCCGCGGUAAUACGGAGGAUCCGAGCGUUAUCCGGAUUUAUUGGGUUUAAAGGGAGCGUAGGUGGAUUGUUAAGUCAGUUGUGAAAGUUUGCGGCUCAACCGUAAAAUUGCAGUUGAUACUGGCAGUCUUGAGUACAGUAGAGGUGGGCAGAAGUCGUGGUGUAGCGGUGAAAUGCUUAGAUAUCACGAAGAACUCCGAUUGCGAAGGCAGUUCACUGGACUGCAACUGACACUGAGGCUCGAAAGUGUGGGUAUCAAACAGGAUUAGAUACCCCUGUAGUC